rnacentral:rRNA from 1 species
UUCAGACUGCAGGCUGCAACUCGCCUGCACGAAGUCGGAAUUGCUAGUAAUCGCGGAUCAGCAUGCCGCGGUGAAUACGUUCCCGGGCCUUGUACACACCGCCCGUCACACCAUGGGAGUCGGUAACACCCGAAGUCGGUGGUCUAACCGCAAGGAGGACGCCGCCGAAGGUGGGAUUGAUGACUGGGGUGAAGUCGUAACAAGGUAGC